rnacentral:rRNA from 1 species
GACGAACGCUGGCGGCGUGCCUAAUACAUGCAAGUCGAGCGGAAUGAAGAAGAAGCUUGCUUCUUCUGAUUUUAGCGGCGGACGGGUGAGUAACACGUGGGCAACCUACCUUGUAGAUUGGGAUAACUCCGGGAAACCGGGGCUAAUACCGGAUAAUCCAUUUUGCUUCAUGGCGAGACGUUGAAAGACGGUUUCGGCUGUCACUACAAGAUGGGCCCGCGGCGCAUUAGCUAGUUGGUAGGGUAAUGGCCUACCAAGGCGACGAUGCGUAGCCGACCUGAGAGGGUGAUCGGCCACACUGGGACUGAGACACGGCCCAGACUCCUACGGGAGGCAGCAGUAGGGAAUCUUCCACAAUGGACGAAAGUCUGAUGGAGCAACGCCGCGUGAGUGAAGAAGGUUUUCGGAUCGUAAAACUCUGUUGUAAGGGAAGAACACGUACGAGAGUAACUGCUCGUACCUUGACGGUACCUUAUUAGAAAGCCACGGCUAACUACGUG